UACGGGGGGGGGCAAGCGUUGUUCGGAAUUACUGGGCGUAAAGGGCUCGUAGGCGGCCAACUAAGUCAUACGUGAAAUCCCUCGGCUUAACCGGGGAACUGCGUCUGAUACUGGAUGGCUUGAGUUCGGGAGAGGGAUGCGGAAUUCCAGGUGUAGCGGUGAAAUGCGUAGAUAUCUGGAGGAACACCGGUGGCGAAGGCGGCAUCCUGACCGAUACUGACGCUGAGGUGCGAAAGCGUGGGGAGCAAACAGG
rnacentral:rRNA from 1 species